GACGAACGCUGGCGGCGUGCCUAAUACAUGCAAGUCGAACGAGUGGCGGACGGGUGAGUAACACGUGGGAACCUACCCAUCAGAGGGGGAUAACUACUGGAAACGGUGGCCAAUACCGCAUAAUAUCGGCUUAACCCAGAUGGGAUUAGCUAGUAGGUGGGGUAAAGGCUCAACUCAGCGACGAUCUCUCGCUGGUACUAGAGGAUGAUCCGCCACACUUGGACGGAGAAAAGGCCCAGACUCCUACGGGAGGCAGCAGUGGGGAAUAUUGCACAAUUGGCGCAAGCCUGAUGCAGCCAAGCCGCGGGGAUGAAGAAUGCCUUAGGGUUGUAAAGUACUUUCAGCGGGGAGGCGUUACCCGCAGAAGAAGCACCGGCUAACUACGUGCCAGCAGCCGCGGUAAUUC
rnacentral:rRNA from 1 species